GACGAACGCUGGCGGCGUGCUUAACACAUGCAAGUCGAACGGAAAGGCCCUGCUUUUGUGGGGUGCUCGAGUGGCGAACGGGUGAGUAACACGUGAGUAACCUGCCCUUGACUUUGGGAUAACUUCAGGAAACUGGGGCUAAUACCGGAUAGGAGCUCCUGCUGCAUGGUGGGGGUUGGAAAGUUUCGGCGGUUGGGGAUGGACUCGCGGCUUAUCAGCUUGUUGGUGGGGUAGUGGCUUACCAAGGCUUUGACGGAUAGCCGGCCUGAGAGGGUGACCGGCCACAAUGGGACUGAGAGACGGCCCAGACGCCUACGUGAGGCAGCAGGGGGGAAUAUGGCACAAUGGGCGGAAGCCGGAUGCAGCAACGCCGCGUGCGGGAUGACGGCCUGCGGGUUGUAAACCGCUUUCGCCUGUGACGAAGCGUGAGUGACGGUAAUGGGUAAAGAAGCACCGGCUAACUACGUG
rnacentral:rRNA from 1 species